UGCACCCCGCCUCCUGCCCGAUGACAGCUGGAAUAAGCUCCAGCACGCCCGCGACCCUAGUGAGGAGAAGUGGUUCAGAAAAUGGAUGGAUGGAUGAACGCCGAAGACAAUUCACAUUAUCCUACACCCAAAAAGUUGUUUUCGUAACUAUCCUCUAUUUGUCAUGUGUGUGUGUUCCGGGUUUUGUCUUCCCCCCUGUUUCACACACACCUGCUCCUGUGAGCAUCUUCACCACCUGUGCCUCGUUCACCCUAAUUACCUAUUGUAUUUAACCUCGUGUCUCAUUCCCUCUCGUUGCCAGUUCGUUGUACCUUGUCGUUGCGUUCCAGCAUUCCUUGUUUCCACGUCACAUACUCACAGUAAGACUUGACCCUGUUCCGAUUAUCGAUUACCCCCACGAGGGAGGUUGUUCUCUCUUUCAGGGCCGGAACACAAGGCCAUGAAGGAGUACGUGGAAGAAUCACUGGCAGCCGGAAUCAUUUGCCCAUCUUCAUCCCCUGCGGGAGCAGGAUUUUUCUUUGUGGACAAGAAAGACAAGACCCUGCGACCCUGUAUCGAUUACCGGGGUCUCAACGAGAUCACGGUAUAAAACAGCCCCAGAGUCCACAGUUCCAGCGGCAUUAACCUUGGUGAGACGCUGCAGGAGGACCUGGGAGCGAACCCGCCAGAUGCUGCUGCGCCAGGGACGGUCCUACAAAGCCGCUGCUGACCGUCGGAGGACACCGGCCCCGAACUACAAAGUGGGUCAGCGAGUUUGGCUCUCGACCAAACAUACUCCAUUCCGGGUGGAGUCCAUUCACCACCUGUGCCUCGUUCACCCUAUUUACCUAUUGUAUUUAACCUCGUGUCUCAUUCCCUCUCGUUGCCAGUUCGUUGUACCUUGUCGUCGCGUUCCAGCAUUUUUGUUUCCAUGUCACAGACUCACAGUAAGACUUGACCCUGUUCUGAUUAUUGACCUUGUCUCUUUGCCUCAUGUUUUUGGAUACUGUUGCCUUUCUUGGAUUGCCUGCCUGUGUACCGACCUAUGCCAGUCUAUUAAACCUCUCUUUUUGGAAACUG